rnacentral:rRNA from 1 species
AUUGAACGCUGGCGGCAGGCUUAACACAUGCAAGUCGAGCGGGGGAAGGUAGCUUGCUACCGGACCUAGCGGCGGACGGGUGAGUAAUGCUUAGGAAUCUGCCUAUUAGUGGGGGACAACAUCUCGAAAGGGAUGCUAAUACCGCAUACGUCCUACGGGAGAAAGCAGGGGAUCUUCGGACCUUGCGCUAAUAGAUGAGCCUAAGUCGGAUUAGCUAGUUGGUGGGGUAAAGGCCUACCAAGGCGACGAUCUGUAGCGGGUCUGAGAGGAUGGUCCGCCACACUGGGAAUGAGACACGGCCCAGACGCCUACGGGAGGCAGCAGGGGGGAAUAUUGGACAAUGGGGGGAACGCUGAUCCAGCCAUGCCGCGUGUGUGAAGAAGGCCUUAUGGUUGUAAAGCACUUUAAGCGAGGAGGAGGCUACUUUAGUUAAUACCUAGAGAUAGUGGACGUUACUCGCAGAAUAAGCACCGGCUAACUCUGUGCCAGCCGCCGCCGUAACAC